ACUCAAAUGAAUAGACGGGGGCCCGCACAAGCGGCGGAGCAUGUGGAUUAAUUCGAUGCAACGCGAAGAACCUUACCUGGGUUUGACAUGCACAGGACGCCGGUAGAGAUAUCGGUUCCCUUGUGGUCUGUGUGCAGGUGGUGCAUGGCUGUCGUCAGCUCGUGUCGUGAGAUGUUGGGUUAAGUCCCGCAACGAGCGCAACCCUUGUCUCAUGUUGCCAGCACGUAAUGGUGGGGACUCGUGAGAGACUGCCGGGGUCAACUCGGAGGAAGGUGGGGAUGACGUCAAGUCAUCAUGCCCCUUAUGUCCAGGGCUUCACACAUGCUACAAUGGCCGGUACAAAGGGCUGCGAUGCCGUGAGGCGAAGCGAAUCCUUGAAAGCCGGUCUCAGUUCGGAUCGGGGUCUGCAACUCGACCCCGUGAAGUCGGAGUCGCUAGUAAUCGCAGAUCAGCAACGCUGCGGUGAAUACGUUCCCGGGCCUUGUACACACCGCCCGU
rnacentral:rRNA from 1 species